GAUGAACGCUAGCGGGAGGCUUAACACAUGCAAGUCGAGCGGGAUCCCCUUCGGGGUGAGAGCGGCGCACGGGUGCGUAACGCGUAUGCAACCUGCCUUAUACAGGGGGAUAGCCCAUGGAAACGUGGAUUAAUAUCCCAUAGGAUGAUAGGUCCGCAUGGAUUUAUGAUUAAAACUGAGGUGGUAUAAGAUGGGCAUGCGUCUGAUUAGGUAGUUGGUAGGGUAACGGCCUACCAAGCCGACGAUCAGUAGGGGUUCUGAGAGGAUUACCCCCCANACUGGUACUGAGACACGGACCAGACUCCUACGGGAGGCAGCAGUGAGGAAUAUUGGUCAAUGGGCGAGAGCCUGAACCAGCCAUCCCGCGUGCAGGAUGACGGCCCUAUGGGUUGUAAACUGCUUUUCUACGCCAAGAAACCUGAUUACGAGUAAUCAGCUGACGGUAGCGUAGGAAUAAGCACCGGCUAACUCCGUGCCAGCAGCCGCGGUUAAAGAU
rnacentral:rRNA from 1 species